rfam:Schistosoma rodhaini strain Burundi genome assembly, scaffold: SROB_scaffold0003165
GCACUGCUGAGGAGUCCCAUAAUAAGACGAUACGGCCGUCCAGUGC